AUGUACAUUCUUACAACAUAGCGUUAAUGCACCGGAUCCCAUUAGAACUCCACAAUUAAGCAUGAAAGGGACAGAUUCGUACUAGGAUGGGUGAAUUCACGGGAAUUCCUAGUGUUUUACAUA
rnacentral:rRNA from 1 species